rnacentral:rRNA from 1 species
GACGAACGCUGGCGGCGUGCCUAAUACAUGCAAGUAGAACGCACAGUUUAUACCGUAGCUUGCUACACCAUAGACUAUGAGUUGCGAACGGGUGAGUAACGCGUAGGUAACCUGCCUGGUAGCGGGGGAUAACUAUUGGAAACGAUAGCUAAUACCGCAUAAUAUUAAUUAUUGCAUGAUAAUUAAUUGAAAGGUGCAAUUGCACCACUACCAGAUGGACCUGCGUUGUAUUAGCUAGUAGGUGAGGUAACGGCUCACCUAGGCGACGAUACAUAGCCGACCUGCGAGGGUGAUCAGCCACACUGGGACUGAGACACGGCCCAGACUCCUACGGGAGGCAGCAGUAGGGAAUCUUCGGCAAUGGACGAAAGUCUGACCGAGCAACGCCGCGUGAGUGAAGAAGGUUGUCGGAUCGUAAAGCUCUGUUGUAAGAGAAGAACGGGUGUGAGAGUGGAAAGUUCACACUGUGACGGUAUCUUACCAGAAAGGGACGGCUAACUACGUG